rnacentral:rRNA from 1 species
AGAGUUUGAUCCUGGCUCAGGAUGAACGCUAGCGGGAGGCCUAACACAUGCAAGUCGAACGGGAUUGAGAGCUUGCUCUCAUGAGAGUGGCGCACGGGUGAGUAACGCGUAUGCAACCUACCUAUAACUGAGGGAUAGCCCAUAGAAAUGUGGAUUAAUACCUCAUAGUUCUUUUGAUCCGCAUGGAUUAAAAGAUAAAGCUCCGGCGGUUAUAGAUGGGCAUGCGUGACAUUAGCUAGUUGGUAAGGUAACGGCUUACCAAGGCUACGAUGUCUAGGGGUUCUGAGAGGAUGAUCCCCCACACUGGUACUGAGACACGGACCAGACUCCUACGGGAGGCAGCAGUGAGGAAUAUUGGUCAAUGGGCGCAAGCCUGAACCAGCCAUCCCGCGUGCAGGAUGAAGGCCCUAUGGGUCGUUAACUGCUUUUAUACACCAAGAAAAACACCCACGUG